CCCUAUGCACCCACAAAAACCGUCAUCGUCCUUUGGAAAUGAUGCUGGCAAUGGAUGAUCAGGUGUUAUCCCAACCUACAUUCCUCAACACCAAUACAAUAUUUGGUCAUACAUACAUACAUACAUACAUACAUACAUACAUACAUACAUACAUACAUACAUGCAUACCUUAUUGAUGUCAAUGUGAUCAGGGGUUUCAUAACGAGCAACAGUAACAGCUAAGCCAGAGCCAUCAGACAGUUCAAAAACCGAUUGUAUUUUUC
rnacentral:lncRNA from 1 species